AAGUCGUAACAAGGUUUCCGUAGGUGAACCUGCGGAAGGAUCAUUAACACGUAUCCAACGUUAAAACCCCCCCCGUGAACUUUCAAUCCUGCUCUUGUAACCCGCGUAGUUCGCAAUCUCUGGUAAAUCAUAGCCCGGAAAGUUGUUUUGAUUCGGAGACCUCUGGCUACGUGAGAACAUUGGAACAGUUACAAUCGAGCGGUAGUUUCAUAGGCAUUGUUUCCCCAAGCAGUCAGUGUCGGAAAGUGUCACUGAUUGUGCAAGGAUAGCGCUUCACGAUUCCUGUAGACCGUACACGCCCCCUUAUAACCCCACAGUUUAAUGUAAAGCUCAAUGUAAUACAUUGGGUAAAAAAACCGAACAACUGUUAACAAUGGAUAUCUUGGUUCUC
rnacentral:misc_RNA from 1 species